rnacentral:rRNA from 1 species
CCUACGGGGGGCAGCAGUGGGGAAUAUUGGACAAUGGGGGCAACCCUGAUCCAGCCAUGCCGCGUGUGUGAAGAAGGCCCUCGGGUUGUAAAGCACUUUCAGUGAGGAAGAACGCCUGGUGGUUAAUACCCAUCAGGAAAGACAUCACUCACAGAAGAAGCACCGGCUAACUCCGUGCCAGCAGCCGCGGUAAUACGGAGGGUGCGAGCGUUAAUCGGAAUUACUGGGCGUAAAGCGCGCGUAGGUGGCUUGAUAAGCCGGUUGUGAAAGCCCCGGGCUCAACCUGGGAACGGCAUCCGGAACUGUCAAGCUAGAGUGCAGGAGAGGAAGGUAGAAUUCCCGGUGUAGCGGUGAAAUGCGUAGAGAUCGGGAGGAAUACCAGUGGCGAAGGCGGCCUUCUGGGCUGACACUGACACUGAGGUGCGAAAGCGUGGGUAGCAAACAGGAUUAGAUACCCUGGUAGUC